ACAACGAAUAGUUUGAUCCUGGCUCAGGAUGAACGCUAGCGACAGGCCUAACACAUGCAAGUCGAGGGGUAACAGGGGAGCUUGCUCCCGCUGACGACCGGCGCACGGGUGAGUAACACGUAUGCAACCUGCCCGUAAGAGGGGGAUAACCCGGAGAAAUCCGGACUAACACCGCAUAAUAUCACGAUAAGGCAUCUUGACGUGAUUAAAUAUUUAUAGCUUACGGAUGGGCAUGCGCAUGAUUAGCUAGUUGGUGGGGUAACGGCCUACCAAGGCGACGAUCAUUAGGGGUCCUGAGAGGGAAAUCCCCCACAUUGGUACUGAGACACGGACCAAACUCC
rnacentral:rRNA from 1 species